ACGAACGCUGGCGGCGUGCUUAACACCUGCAAGUCGAACGGAAAGGCCCUGCUUUUGUGGGGUGCUCGAGUGGCGAACGGGUGAGUAACACGUGAGUAACCUGCCCUUGACUUUGGGAUAACUUCAGGAAACUGGGGCUAAUACCGGAUAGGAGCUCCUGCUGCAUGGUGGGGGUUGGAAAGUUUCGGCGGUUGGGGAUGGACUCGCGGCUUAUCAGCUUGUUGGUGGGGUAGUGGCUUACCAAGGCUUUGACGGGUAGCCGGCCUGAGAGGGUGACCGGCCACAUUGGGACUGAGAUACGGCCCAGACUCCUACGGGAGGCAGCAGUGGGGAAUAUUGCACAAUGGGCGGAAGCCUGAUGCAGCAACGCCGCGUGCGGGAUGACGGCCUUCGGGUUGUAAACCGCUUUCGCCUGUGACGAAGCGUGAGUGACGGUAAUGGGUAAUGAAGCACCGGCUAACUACGUG
rnacentral:rRNA from 1 species